ACAAAUUUCUUUUCUUUGUAGGUCUGCAGAUUCUGGAUGGCAACUUCAUCAAUAGGUUCAAUUAAAUAAAGAACCUCAAUGCCUUUUUGAACCAACUUCUCCAAGAACGGAGCACUCUUGGCACUUUUCAAGCUGUCUGUUGCCAGGUAGUAGAUAGCCUUCUGGUUCUCCCCUAUGUUCUCAACAUAAUCAUCUAAGGUUGAGAGUCCAUCCUCACUUUUGGAGGUGUAGAACCGC
rnacentral:misc_RNA from 1 species